rnacentral:pre_miRNA from 1 species
UCUUAUGGAUGAGGAAAGAAAGUAGUUUCUUGAGACAGAACCUACUCCUGGUAAAGAUGGUCUGAA